rnacentral:rRNA from 1 species
CCAGACUCCUACGGGAGGCAGCAGUGGGGAAUAUUGCACAAUGGGGGGAACCCUGAUGCAGCGACGCCGCGUGGGUGAAGGAGUAUUUCGGUAUGUAAAGCCCUAUCAGCAGGGAAGAACAAUGACGGUACCUGACUAAGAAGCACCGGCUAAAUACGUGCCAGCAGCCGCGGUAAUACGUAUGGUGCAAGCGUUAUCCGGAUUCACUGGGUGUAAAGGGAGCGUAGACGGCCAUGCAAGCCAGGGGUGAAAGCCCGGGGCCCAACCCCGGGACUGCCCUUGGAACUGCAUGGCUGGAGUGCGGGAGGGGCAGGCGGAAUUCCUAGUGUAGCGGUGAAAUGCGUAGAUAUUAGGAGGAACACCAGUGGCGAAGGCGGCCUGCUGGACGAUGACUGACGUUGAGGCUCGAAAGCGUGGGGAGCAAACAGGAUUAGAUACCCGUGUAUGA